UGAUCCAGCGAUGCCGCGUGAGUGAAGAAGGCCUUCGGGUUGUAAAGCUCUUUCGGAGGGAACGAAACGGGUUCGGCUAAUACCCGCAUUCAAUGACGGUACCCUAAGAAGAAGCACCGGCUAACUACGUGCCAGCAGCCGCGGUAAUACGUAGGGUGCAAGCKUUAAUCGGAAUUACUGGGCGUAAAGCGUGCGCAGGCAGCCACUUAUGUCAGAUGUGAAAGCCCCGGGCUUAACCUGGGAAUGGCGUUUGAAACUGGGUGGCUAGCGUUUGGCAGAGGGGGGUGGAAUUCCACGUGUAGCAGUGAAAUGCGUAGAUAUGUGGAGGAACACCAAUGGCGAAGGCAGCCCCCUGGGCUAAAACUGACGCUCAUGCACGAAAGCAUGGGGAGCAAACAGGAUUAGAUACCCUGGUAGUCCAUGCCCUAAACCAUGUCAACUAGUUGUCGGGGGAAUUAAAUCCCUUGGUAACGCAGCUAACGCGUGAAGUUGACCGCCUGGGGAGUACGGUCGCAAGAUUA
rnacentral:rRNA from 1 species